rnacentral:rRNA from 1 species
AAAUUGAAGAGUUUGAUCAUGGCUCAGAUUGAACGCUGGCGGCAGGCCUAACACAUGCAAGUCGAACGGUAACAGAAAGCAGCUUGCUACUUUGCUGACGAGUGGCGGACGGGUGAGUAAUGUCUGGGAAACUGCCUGAUGGAGGGGGAUAACUACUGGAAACGGUAGCUAAUACCGCAUAACGUCGCAAGACCAAAGAGGGGGACCUUCGGGCCU